rnacentral:rRNA from 1 species
CGCCCUUAGAGUUUGAUCCUGGCUCAGGACGAACUCUGGCGGCGCGCCUAACACAUGCAAGUCGAACGAGCGAGAGAGAGCUUGCUUUCUCGAGCGAGUGGCGAACGGGUGAGUAACGCGUGAGGAACCUGCCUCAAAGAGGGGGACAACAGUUGGAAACGACUGCUAAUACCGCAUAAGCCCACAGGUCGGCAUCGACCAGAGGGAAAAGGAGCAAUCCGCUUUGAGAUGGCCUCGCGUCCGAUUAGCUAGUUGGUGAGGUAACGGCCCACCAAGGCAACGAUCGGUAGCCGGACUGAGAGGUUGAACGGCCACAUUGGGACUGACACACGGCCUACACUCCUACGGGAGGCAGCAGUGGGGAAUAUUGCACAAUGGGGGAAACCCUGAUGCAGCGACGCCGCGUGGAGGAAGAAGGUCUUCGGAUUGUAAACUCCUGUUGUUGAGGAAGAUAAUGACGGUACUCAACAAGGAAGUGACGGCUAACUACGUGCCAGCAGCCGCGGUAAAACGUAGGUCACAAGCGUUGUCCGGAAUUACUGGGUGUAAAGGGAGCGCAGGCGGGAAGACAAGUUGGAAGUGAAAUCUAUGGGCUCAACCCAUAAACUGCUUUCAAAACUGUUUUUCUUGAGUAGUGCAGAGGUAGGCGGAAUUCCCGGUGUAGCGGUGGAAUGCGUAGAUAUCGGGAGGAACACCAGUGGCGAAGGCGGCCUACUGGGCACCAACUGACGCUGAGGCUCGAAAGUGUGGGUAGCAAACAAGAUUAGAUACCCUGGUAGUCCACNC